UUGGGCUCUAGACUGAGAAGGACUUGACUCUGAACCCAGUCCUGAAGCCUUAGGUUUUCUUUUGCCACAUUGUUCUUGUGCCUCAAAUAUUCUAAAUUGUUUACAUUUUUUGACCGUGCGAGAAUCCUUGCCACUCCCAAUGAAGAACUUUAAGACAUUCUGAUUGCCUGUUUACCUCACUGGUUGUGCUUCAUUUGUUCAUCCUG